GGGGCUGGAGCAGCAGCUGGAGCCUGGGUCCAGGGCUGGCGCAGCAGCUGGGGCUAGGUCUGGGGCUGGUCCUGCCAGGGACUAACCAAGAAUGGGCUCCAUUGUGCUAGACACUGCACAAGCACAGAAUAGUAGCUGGUUCCUGCCCCUGAAGAGCUUACAAUCUAAAUAGACAAGACAGAAGAAAGCUCUCUGGAAGGGGAAAUAUCUUUGUUUCAUUCACAUGUACAACACCUUCCUAAUCCCUGACUGAGACCUCCAGGCACCAUCACAAUAACAAUAAUCAUCAUCACCAUCACCACCACAAAGGAAUUUUCAGGUGUCAAGUUUAUAUCUGGAGCACAGCUGUUUUGAAGAUGAAAUCAAAGGGAGGAUCUGGGUCUGAGUGUUUAUCCUUACUGGUGUUCUCAGCAGAAAGGCAAAAGACUAAAUGAUCAUGGAGAAUGAACUACUCUUCCAUCCCCAGAAGUUAUCGCUCCAGCUCAUAGUUGAGCCACAUUGAUGGGAAAGCUUGUACUGCUGGAGCUUUUGCUAAAACAUUUCUACGGAUAAACUGUGGGUUUCACUCCUAACAUUGACAGGCUGCCACGUUUCACUAAAUUAUCUACAGAAAAUAACCUUUGGUCUCAGCAUGUUCUGCAUUUUAGAAGACCAGGGCCUCAUUCUUUCAACCAAAAUUAUCUGUUUGUAUUUCUACCCCAGGGUUUCUGAUAAAUCACAAUUACAUUUGUUAGUGAGUGAACAGGUAAAACAAGAACAUAAAGACACACCUGAGGCACUUGGUCCAGAAACCUCCCUUCCUUCUCUCUACAUGGAGAACACAGAUGCAGCUGGGAGAGAAGACUUUGCAGCCUCCUGCCAUUAUCUAAUCUAUCUAUCCAGUUACCUACUUACCUGCCUUCAUGGCCCUUAUCAUAAUCUGACCUCCUCCCAAGAAUUUUAAAGAAACAAGCAAUAUUAAGGUCCACAUAAAGACAUAGGGAGAUUGAGAAAUAGAGAGUUAGGUAAUGGCAGGAGGCAGUCAGAUACUAUGAUAAUUAAGAAGGGAGAUAAUGGGUAUUAGCUUCUCCAUAUUAAAGUUGCAAGCAACCUCCAUUAUCAAACCUUGUAUUUGUCCCAUUUGUAACCUUACCCUUGGCAAAUCUGUUAGACUUGAAAAUUGCAAGGUUUUUCUGAAACGGUUUAUUAAAUUGACUAAGUAGUUUUAAAGAUUUUAAAAAGGCUUCUUUCUGAAAAAUGUGCAGCUUUGAAUUUUUUCUGCACCUCUUGGUCUGCCCAGCAAAAUCAAUUACACCACAAAAAUUGAAAUGCACUUUGUACAGAUUUUUA